ACUGCCGAAAGCCCGCCCGAAUUGUUUUUUGCGCGAAAAGUAGCUCGGUAUCCGAACGACCGUUUGAUAGAGCGUUGAAGUUCGAUGCGAGUGAAAAUUAGUGCCUGGAAAGUUUGACUCUGCGUCGAAACUGUGAGGAGGGACGACGAUGGGUCCCAGCAUGCUAAACCAGCUUCGGGGAAACGAAUACUUUCGUCGGUCUGUGAACGACGGGCGGACGUGCGCGCUGACCUAUUCCGUCCUCAAGAAUCUCCACAGCCGGGCUAUAAACGAAUACGUCAUCCGAAACGACGGCCAAGAAGUUCCCCCGCUUGCCUGCACCUACUUUUCAGAGCCAGACCUUCACGACCUCCUGGCAGUGGCCGACGAGGAUGGCACGGUGCACAUGUUGCGGACCCAUCAGCCUGACAACCGCCUUACCUUGGAGACCACGUUUCAGACACAUGAGAACGCAAUCUUUGACAUGUGCGCGAGGCCUGGGCGGCGGCACCUUGCCACCGCGGCCGGAAACCUGGCCAUUACUCUCUGGGACCUUGACCAGCAGACGGCGGUGUCGAGCUACCGAGCUCACAAGGGCAGCGUCAAGUGUGUCCGCUUCCUUCCGGGCCACUCUGAUGUGUUUGCAUCGGGAUCCCGAGAUGGUGCCGUGAUGGUCUGGGACGCCCGCUGCUCCGAACCUCAGGUGACCAUUCCCAGGGCACACUGCACAGUGUCCGGAGUCACGCCCAGCAGGAAGAGAAACAACCUUGGCAGGAAGGUGUUGUUGCAGCCCACAACACCCGGCAGCGUGACUGCCUGCGCAUUCCGUGACGAGCACCACUUGGUUACGUGUGGUGCCAACAAUGGGGAAGUGAAAGUGUGGGACUUGCGAAAGAACUACCAGCUCUUCAAGAAUGAUCCCCGGCCAGUCACUGCCUUUCCCUACGCAGGGCGGAGCACGGCCAUUCACGGCUACACCAGCAUGGUGCUGGACGCGUCGAGAAGGCGUGCCUUCGUCAGCUGCACGGACCACAACAUCUACGAGUUUGACCUGCUGGCCAGCGACACGUCCGAACCCUUGGGGACUUAUUGUGGACACAGCAUAAAGAGCUUCUAUGUCAAGCUGGCCCUGAGCUGCGAUGGCCGUUUCCUGGCCAGUGGCUCUUCGGACUCGGCAGCGUACAUUUGGCAGGUAGGCUCGCCAGGGUUGCCCAAGCUGCGGCUCGCCGGCCACGAAGGUGAAGUGGCCGUACUUGCCUGGGACUGCUCUCACCCAGCCAGGCUGGCCACAUGUGGGGAUGACUUUCGGGUGCUGCUCUGGGAUUCAGCAGGCACGGAAGAAGACAUGGCCACGAAGGACUGUACGCGUGCCGAAGCCUUCACUCUUGCAGAGAGUGCAGAACCACCGGUCAGCGCAUCACCCAGCUUGGCCCGGCUUGCACCACCGCACCCUUCGACGGGCAGUCUUCGAACACCCACAAGGAGGAGGUCGUCGAUGGCCGACUGGCUGACGCCACCCACCAAGCGCAGGCUAACCAGUGUUGCCAGCACCACACCUGGAGCUUGGGGCCAUGGUACACGCGUGGAGGGUGACUCAGUGUCGUCGGAUGGUGACUCGCUGCCACGGCCCGUCUCCUCCGUCUGCCGAUGCCGUGCUCUCCCCGAGAAAGAAGGUCGACAAUGCCUUUAACCUUCCUCAGCGGCGCUUGCUUCCCCACCUCAACGCCCUCGAAGAUGGUACAGAGAAAGGUGCCAGCAUGCCAGUUGUGACAACGUGCGACCUGGAAAACUGGCCCCAACAGGCGCUGGAAACACCGCCACGGCCUGCGGCGUCCUCCGAGACGAUGUUGUCCCCUCCGAGUGCAUCGCGCAGCCGCAAGCAGCACAAGGUCAUGACGAGGCUCUUCAAGAAGCAGACGCUCUCCGCUGUUGACAAGGGAAAGAGCAAGGCAAAGAGGGCGCUGCUGAACACACAGCAGCAAAUAACAUCUUUCUUCAAGCGCUGACAAUGGAGCAACGUUUGGCCCACAUCGUCUCUGCCCGUGCCAGUUUUCCCAACUGGCUAGCCACUCACUGCCGCUGCUGCAGACAGGUCAACAAAAGUAACCUCCUCACCACUGGAGUGGACUGCAUGCUAGCGCUAGCCUUCCUGCAUUUUUAAUGUCAGGCCAAAUGGAUUGCCAACUUUACCAUGUGAACAAAAUGAAAAGUGUACGACUUUGUUGCAUUGUUUUUACUCCUUGUGCUUUUAUGGCACUCUUAUGUGGCAUGCGCUUGGCAGCACCUACCAAUGACAAUAAAUUCUUUGAGUUAGUUUUUUUUUUUUUUGUGAUAUAAAAAAGAAAGGCAAGGAGGCUUUGUGUCUUAGUGUAUUUAUUGUGGUUUUAGGAUUUCACGUGGUAUAUAACGCGUGUGCUUUGGUACAGCAUUUAGAAUAGUGGUUUCUUGACCUUCUAUUUGUAGUACUAUAGGUGCAAGUUGCUGUGUAUUCUUGUAUAAAAGUUGCUUUUCUUUUUUAAUACUUUAGCUCGGAUGUCGUGCCACACCUAAGGUUGCACGAUGAUAAAUCUGCUGGCCUUUCCUCACAAAAUGGGACCAGUGUGUUCAGUACAUUGUGGAUUGCAUUGAUAUUGAGGGGUGCAGCCCUUGCACUAGAGUACACAGACCGUGGCAUUGAAUGUUCAUUGAGCAAUGUUGCUAACUGUGUUAUGUUGGCCUGGAUCACAGCGCUCGUUCACAGGAUUGUGACCAGUGCUUUGAAAUAUCAAUGUUUGUCUUGCAAGACUGAAAAAAAGUUCUAAAAUAAAUACUACUGUAUUUGUUGCCAGAAACUUUGCUAAAAGCUACAGCUUGUUACGGCAGGUGUCCUUAUAAUGUGCUUACCUAAGUAUUGGUGAUGUGUAGUUCCCAGCAAUAGUUUUUCACAUCUCCCAUUUAUUUCCAUGGAACCUGCAAGUGGGGCUUUGCAGCAAGAGCUUGUUAAUUCCAGAUUUUUUGUCGCACAUGAAAAAUGUCCCAUUAUCUGAGUAAUUAAUUUUCAAACGUGCAAAGAAAAUUGUGAUUAAUGCCGCAGCAUAUUUUACAGAAUAAUUCUUUCAAGCUCUUUCUGUAGUUUCCUCAAAAUUGGUACGCAAGCGCUUUUCCUCAGCUAGCACAGAAAUUAUCUGAAAAUUUGGCACGAAAUAUCUCCGGAAUAACAAGGACUGUGCAGCUUCUGUAAUUGUGACAGCGAUGGCAGUCUGACAAGUGCAUCAUCUUCAACCCCGGUCACACGGGGAACUUUCGAUUGCGAUUGAAUUUCUGAACAGUAAUGGGCCCCCUUCACAGCUUGCGCAAUGUACCCAAUCAAGAUCGAGUAAGUCAAGCUCGAUUGGGCUAAAUCACAAUGAAAAGUGCUCCAACUGUCACUUGUAUUAAUGUACCCACUGGCUACGGCUCUUGACUACGGCUGGCUGUGUUGUGGUCCCUUGUGGUGUCCAUAUGGAAGCUCGACAUCUAACUUGUCGGAAUUGGAGAGCAUUUGCUGCCGUAAAUAAUGCAGUGAAAUUAAUGUAUAGCAAGCCAGCAAAAUAGCUGCAAGUUUUACUUAGUUCACAAUUCUAAAUGUAAGUUACGUGAAGUUUUAUACCAUUAGAACGCCUAACUUUGUGUACCCCCAAAGUUACUCACUUAUGAAGAAAGGCAUUGACUGUAUGGAGGGUGUCCCAAAGUUGUGAAAUAGUGUUUUCUGACCAGCAUACAUGCAGCCACAUACAUUGCACCAGCAUGUUGAUGCAAAAAUGUUUUUUUAAGGUGCUGUUGGCGUAGCAUGUCUUCGUGUACAGAUGUGGUGUUUGGAAUCCACGUAAUGGCCAUGCCAUGGUGCAAGGAGGUUUCCUUUUUUUUUUUCUCUUUUUUUUCAUUCUCUUUUUUUGCUUUCUUUUUUUCCUUAGUCCUGUACAAGCGAGCCAUAUGUAGCCUAUUGGUGCUACAUGGAGUUCGAUCUAACGGUUGUGGAUGCAACCUUUGUCCUAUGCAACCGAAUAUAUUGCCAUCUUGCAGCUUCACAGUGUUGUGAAAUUCAGUAUAUUCAAAUCUGACUCUGCGGGCAUCGGAUGGAAAAGUGGACUCCUCGUUUGGAAGGCUUUGACUUACGAGCUUUCAGCAUAUUGUGAAAGUUUAUUGCUCUGCAUUACUUUAAAAAAAAUUUAAUACAAGUGAAAUUGUGUCAACACCCUGCCACAAAAUAGUGUUUCAUUCAUGUGUCAUAGUUUUAAACAUUCCUUUCUCUGCUCAUGUCAUUCAUACUGUGCCUGCACUAGUAAACAAGUUCUGCUUGUUCAAUAACAUUUGUUCCGCAAAUGUUUUUCAUUACUGCAUGUGACAAUAAAGAUAAAAGACUGCUUU
rnacentral:misc_RNA from 1 species